rnacentral:piRNA from 1 species
GUUUGUAAUAGCCAGAACCUGGAAGCA